CGCGGCCUAUCAGCUUGUUGGUGGGGUAACGGCCUACCAAGGCAACGACGGGUAGCUGGUCUGAGAGGACGAUCAGCCACACUGGGACUGAGACACGGCCCAGACUCCUACGGGAGGUAGCAGUAGGGAAUCUUGCGCAAUGGGCGAAAGCCUGACGCAGCGACGCCGCGUGCGGGAUGAAGGCCUUCGGGUCGUAAACCGCUUUCAGCAGGGACGAAAUUGACGGUACCUGCAGAAGAAGGCCCGGCCAACUACGUGCCAGCAGCCGCGGUGAUACGUAGGGGUCUAGCGUUGUCCGGAAUCAUUGGGCGUAAAGAGCUCGUAGGCGGUUCGGCAAGUCGGAUGUGAAAUCUCCACGCUCAACGUGGAGGGGCCAUUCGAAACUGCCGUGACUCGAGUCCGGUAGGGGAGUUCGGAAUUCCCGGUGUAGCGGUGAAAUGCGCAGAUAUCGGGAGGAACACCAGUGGCGAAGGCGGAACUCUGGGCCGGAACUGACGCUGAGGAGCGAAAGCGUGGGGAGCGAACAGGAUUAGAUACCCUGGUAGUCCACGCCGUAAACGUUGGGCACUAGGUGUGGGACUCUAUCGACGGGUUCCGUGCCGUAGCUAACGCAUUAAGUGCCCCGCCUGGGGGAGUA
rnacentral:rRNA from 1 species